GUCCAUGCCGUAAACGGUGGGCGCUAGGUGUAGGGGUCUUCCACGACUUCUGUGCCGCAGCUAACGCAUUAAGCGCCCCGCCUGGGGAGUACGGCCGCAAGGCUAAAACUCAAAGGAAUUGACGGGGGCCCGCACAAGCGGCGGAGCAUGUGGAUUAAUUCGAUGCAACGCGAAGAACCUUACCUGGGCUUGACAUACACCAGAUCGCUGCAGAGAUGUAGCUUCCCUUGUGGCUGGUGUACAGGUUGUGCAUGGUUGUCGU
rnacentral:rRNA from 1 species